rnacentral:rRNA from 1 species
CCUACGGGAGGCAGCAGUGAGGAAUAUUGGUCAAUGGACGAGAGUCUGAACCAGCCAAGUAGCGUGAAGGAUGACUGCCCUAUGGGUUGUAAACUUCUUUUAUAAAGGAAUAAAACGAGGCACGUGUGCCUUUUUGCAUGUACUUUAUGAAUAAGGAUCGGCUAACUCCGUGCCAGCAGCCGCGGUAAUACGGAGGAUCCGAGCGUUAUCCGGAUUUAUUGGGUUUAAAGGUAGCGUAGAUGGGUUGUUAAGUCAGUUGUGAAAGUUUGCGGCUCAACCGUAAAAUUGCAAUUGAUACUGGCAGUCGUGAGUACAGUUGAGGUAGGCGGAAUUCGUGGUGUAGCGGUGAAAUGCUUAGAUAUCACGAAGAACCCCGAUUGCGAAGGCAGCUUACUAAACUGUGACUGACAUUGAUGCUCGAAAGUGUGGGUAUCAAACAGGAUUAGAUACCCGAGUAGUC